CGGGUGAGUAACGCGUGGGUAACCUGCCUUGUACAGGGGGAUAACAGUUGGAAACGGCUGCUAAUACCGCAUAAGCGCACGGCAUCGCAUGAUGCAGUGUGAAAAACUCCGGUGGUAUAAGAUGGACCCGCGUCUGAUUAGCUAGUUGGUAAGGUAACGGCUUACCAAGGCGACGAUCAGUAGCCGACCUGAGAGGGUGACCGGCCACAUUGGGACUGAGACACGGCCCAG
rnacentral:rRNA from 1 species